UCGCAGUUGUUCCAAGGUCCUGGUAUAAGGAUGGCUAUGUCGCUUGGCCACCAGAGAAGAACCCGAGAAAGUUGCAACAAAUGGUGCAAAACGUGCACCAACCACCAGACUCCUGGGAGCGGCUAAAGUGCACUGCCAUGGAUUGGUUUGAGUCUUACGAGAAGGCUAGACGAAAACUUCCGCGAGCCGAAGAUACCUCUGAUUUGCAAAGUGACGUAGAAAGACGCCGAAAAAAGCCGAUGCGAUGGGAGACAGAUGAAACUGAUGAGGAUGAUGUACUAGUUGGCUUCUGUGCCUCAACUUCCAAGGCACACGGAUACUUGCAACCACGAAAGGAACCACUACCACCUGCGGUAGAGUCUGAUGAUGAGUGGGACGAAGUGGGAGCAAGCUCUUUUGAACCAGC